UACGUAGGGGGCGAGUGUUGUCCGGAGUUACUGGGCGUAAAGCGCCCGCAGGCGGUGCUGCGCGUUUGCACUGACAGCUCCCAGCUUAACUGGGAAAGGUGUGCAAAGACGGCAGGACUUCGAGGGCCAGAGAGGGACAUGGAACUCCAGGUGUAGUGGUGAAAUGCGUAGAUAUCUGGAAGAACACCGGUGGCGAAGGCGGCCUGCUGGGCAGUUGCUGACACUGAGGCGCGACAGCGUGGGGAGCAAACAGG
rnacentral:rRNA from 1 species